GACAGAGGGUGCAAACGUUGUUCGGAAUUACUGGGCGUAAAGCGCGUGUAGGCGGCCCUGCAAGUCGGAUGUGAAAUCCCACGGCUCAACCGUGGAAGUGCAUUCGAAACUGCAGGGCUAGAGUCCUGGAGAGGAAGGUGGAAUGCUUGGUGUAGAGGUGAAACUCGUAGAUAUCAAGCGGAACACCGGUGGCGAAGGCGGCCUUCUGGACAGUGACUGACGCUGAGACGCGAAAGCGUGGGGAGCAAACAGG
rnacentral:rRNA from 1 species